GAUAAUAAGAGGCAUGGUAGGAAGCAGUCAAAGAGUCGUUCUCGGGAGAAGCACCACUCCAGGGAGGAUCAGUAUAGGUCCCGCUCUCGGUCCAGGUCCAGGGAGAGGAGGCGAGCUUACAGUCCCCAAAAAGUGGAGAUGGAGGACGAUUCCUGGGAGUCUUCUACUGAUGUUAUACUGGACAGAUUCAAUUCUGAUUUGAGCCUGAAAACAGGCUGGAUAAACUGAAAUGUUACAACAGCAGUGGAUUUUGUUACAUAGUGCCCAAUUAUCCCCAAUCACAAAGUCAUUAACAGGAAAGACAAAAAAUGAGAGGGAGGGAAGCACUUACCAGAAAAAAGAAGGACCAGGGGGAUCAGGAGAGAGUAAGAAAAUUAAACAGAUGGAUCCAUGCUACGUAUUAGUAAAAGACAUAGAAAAAACUGAAGAAAAAAACCCUCAGGAAACCAAAAGGAAACUACCCCUGAUGAUGGAAAAGGCCCAGAAGAAGAAAAAAAGUGGAGAAAAAAAGCCUCAGGAAAGCAAGAGGAAACUACCCCUGAUGACUGAUAAGGGACA